AACGCCCGGAAACGGGUGCUAAUACUGGAUAUUCACUGAUCUUCGCAUGGGGGUUGGUGGAAAGGUUUUUUCUGGUGGGGGGAUGGGCUCGCGGCCUAUCAGCUUGUUGGUGGGGUGAUGGCCUACCAAGGCUUUGACGGGUAGCCGGCCUGAGAGGGUGACCGGUCACAUUGGGACUGAGAUACGGCCCAGACUCCUACGGGAGGCAGCAGUGGGGAAUAUUGCACAAUGGGCGAAAGCCUGAUGCAGCGACGCCGCGUGAGGGAUGGAGGCCUUCGGGUUGUAAACCUCUUUCGCUCAUGGUCAAGCCGCAACUUAGGGUUGUGGUGAGGGUAGUGGGUAAAGAAGCGCCGGCUAACUACGUGCCAGCAGCCGCGGUAAUACGUAGGGCGCGAGCGUUGUCCGGAAUUAUUGGGCGUAAAGGGCUUGUAGGCGGUUGGUCGCGUCUGCCGUGAAAUCCUCUGGCUUAACUGGGGGCGUGCGGUGGGUACGGGCUGACUUGAGUGCGGUAGGGGAGACUGGAACUCCUGGUGUAGCGGUGGAAUGCGCAGAUAUCAGGAAGAACACCGGUGGCGAAGGCGGGUCUCUGGGCCGUUACUGACGCUGAGGAGCGAAAGCGUGGGGAGCGAACAGGAUUAGAUACCCUGGUAGUCCACGCUGUAAACGUUGGGCACUAGGUGUGGGGGCCACCCGUGGUUUCUGCGCCGUAGCUAACGCUUUAAGUGCCCCGCCUGGGGAGUACGGCCGCAAGGCUAAAACUCAAAGGAAUUGACGGU
rnacentral:rRNA from 1 species